rnacentral:tRNA from 1 species
GGGGAUUUAGCUCAGUGGUAGAGCACUUGCCUAGCAAGCACAAGGCCCUGGGUUCUGCCCCCAGCUCCG